rnacentral:rRNA from 1 species
GAUGAACGCUGGCGGCGUGCCUAAUACAUGCAAGUCGAGCGAACAGAUGAGGAGCUUGCUCCUCUGACGUUAGCGGCGGACGGGUGAGUAACACGUGGAUAACCUACCUAUAAGACUGGGAUAACUUCGGGAAACCGGAGCUAAUACCGGAUAAUAUAUUGGACCGCAUGGUUCAAUAGUGAAAGACGGUUUUGCUGUCACUUAUAGAUGGAUCCGCGCCGCAUUAGCUAGUUGGUAAGGGAACGGCUUACCAAGGCAACGAUGCGUAGCCGACCUGAGAGGGUGAUCGGCCACACUGGAACUGAGACACGGUCCAGACUCCUACGGGAGGCAGCAGUAGGGAAGCUUCCGCAAUGGGCGAAAGCCUGACGGAGCAACGCCGCGUGAGUGAUGAAGGUCUUCGGAUCGUAAAACUCUGUUAUUAGGGAAGAACAAAUGUGUAAGUAACUAUGCACGUCUGGACGGUACCUAAUCAGAAAGCCACGGCUAACU